rnacentral:rRNA from 1 species
CAGUAGCCGCGGGAAUACAGAGGGUGCGAGCGUUAAUCGGAUUUACUGGGCGUAAAGCGUGCGUAGGCGGCUUUUUAAGUCGGAUGUGAAAUCCCUGAGCUUAACUUAGGAAUUGCAUUCGAUACUGGGAAGCUAGAGUAUGGGAGAGGAUGGUAGAAUUCCAGGUGUAGCGGUGAAAUGCGUAGAGAUCUGGAGGAAUACCGAUGGCGAAGGCAGCCAUCUGGCCUAAUACUGACGCUGAGGUACGAAAGCAUGGGGAGCAAACAGGAUUAGAUACCCGUGUAGUCCCUGUCUCUUAUAA